UAGGGAGUAUUACUGCAAUGUUCUGCCGCCAGAUUUUCACAGACAAUAAAAUAUGACAUUGAUGCA